rnacentral:rRNA from 1 species
CCUACGGGCGGCAGCAGUGGGGAAUAUUGGGCAAUGGACGCAAGUCUGACCCAGCAACGCCGCGUGAAGGAAGAAGGCUUUCGGGUUGUAAACUUCUUUUAAGGGGGAAGAGCAGAAGACGGUACCCCUUGAAUAAGCCACGGCUAACUACGUGCCAGCAGCCGCGGUAAUACGUAGGUGGCAAGCGUUGUCCGGAUUUACUGGGUGUAAAGGGCGUGCAGCCGGAGAGACAAGUCAGAUGUGAAAUCCGCGGGCUCAACCCGCGAACUGCAUUUGAAACUGUUUCCCUUGAGUAUCGGAGAGGUCAUCGGAAUUCCUAGUGUAGCGGUGAAAUGCGUAGAUAUUAGGAGGAACACCAGUGGCGAAGGCGGCUUGCUGGACUGUAACUGACACUGAGGCUCGAAAGCGUGGGGAGCAAACAGGAUUAGAUACCCGGGUAGUC